UAACAGGAUUAGAUACCCUGGUAGUCCACGCCGUAAACGAUGAUAACUAGCUGUCGGGGCUCUUAGAGCUUCGGUGGCGCAGCUAACGCAUUAAGUUAUCCGCCUGGGGAGUACGGCCGCAAGGUUAAAACUCAAAUGAAUUGACGGGGGCCUGCACAAGCGGUGGAGCAUGUGGCUUAAUUCGAAGCAACGCGCAGAACCUUACCAGCGUUUGACAUGUCCGGACGAUUUCGGGAGACCGAUCUCUUCCCUUCGGGGACUGGAACACAGGUGCUGCAUGGCUGUCGUCAGCUCGUGCCGUGAGAUGUUGGGUUAAGUCCCGCAACGAGCGCAACCCUCGUCCUUAGUUGCCAUCAUUUAGUUGGGCACUCUAAGGAAACCGCCGGUGAUAAGCCGGAGGAAGGUGGGGAUGACGUCAAAUCCUCAUGGCCCUUACGCGCUGGGCUACACACGUGCUACAAUGGCGGUGACAGUGGGCAGCAAUCUCGCAAGGGUGAGCUAAUCUCCAAAAGCCGUCUCAGUUCGGAUUGUUCUCUGCAACUCGAGAGCAUGAAGGCGGAAUCGCUAGUAAUCGCGGAUCAGCAUGCCGCGGUGAAUACGUUCCCAGGCCUUGUACACACCGCCCGUCACACCAUGGGAGUUGGAUUCACCCGAAGGCAGUGCGCUAACCGCAAGGAGGCAGCUGACCACGGUGGGUUCAGCGACUGGGGUGAAGUCGUAACAAGGUAACCA
rnacentral:rRNA from 1 species